GCUGACCGUCGCCAUCACUAUGGGAAUUAUGUUUACUUUGGUGCCACAGCGUAAGGCCUGGAUAUCUAAAGUGACCAUUCCUUGCAUGAUUGCUGGAAACAUCGCCAACUGCAUGACUGGAUGCUUUGCAAGUCUUUUCUACUAAAGGUUCAGGCGUGACACAGCAGCGGACUAGGAUGGAGAAAGUGAUGCAAGGGCUGAAUCGAAAGAAGCUUUUUGAAAGGAGAGGGCUUUUUGCCUACCUCCUUUGACAAUACGAUUGUUAGUAUAUGUAAUUUACCGUCGAGAAGUAUGAAGGACCGCCAUAAAGUAAAAUGAGAGAGAGAGAGAGAGAGAGAGAGAG